AUUGAACGCUGGCGGCAUGCCUUACACAUGCAAGUCGAACGGUAACAGGUCUUCGUAUGCUGACGAGUGUCGGACGGGGGAGUAAUACAUCGGAACGUGCCCGCUCGCUGGGGAUAACGCAGCGAAAGCUGUGCUAAUACCGCAUACGAUCUACGGAUGAAAACGGGGGAUCGCAAUACUUCGCGCGGACUGUGCGGUCGAUGGCAGAUUAGGUAGUUGGUCGGUUAAAAGCUUACCAAGCCGACGAUCUGUAGCUGGUCUGAGAGGACGACCAGCCACACUGGAACUGAGACACGGCCCAGACUCCUACGGGAGGCAGCAGUGGGGAAUUUUGGACAAUGGGCGAAAGCCUGAUCCAGCAAUGCCGCGUGCAGGAUGAAGGCCUUCGGGUUGUAAACUGCUUUUGUACGGAACGAAAAAGCUCUCUCUAAUACAGGGGGUGAAUGACGGUACCGUAAGAAUAAGCACCGGCUAACUACGUG
rnacentral:rRNA from 1 species